GCCAGUCUUCAAACCCGGCGUGGGGUUUC
rnacentral:tRNA from 15 species